rnacentral:rRNA from 1 species
AGCUCCAAUAGCGUAUAUUAAAGUUGUUGCAGUUAAAAAGCUCGUAGUUGGAUUUCUGGUAGAGGGUUAAGGCGCACUGUUGUGAGGCCGCAAUCCUUUGCCAUCCUUCUGUUAACCUUUGCGUCAUUUAACCGUCGCUUUGGGGCUCAGAUAUUUUACCUUGAGAAAAUUAGAGUGUUUCAGGCAGGCUAGUGCCCGGAUACAUUAGCAUGGAAUAAUGGAAUAGGACUUUAGCCUCUUCUGUUGGUCUGAGGGGUUGAAGUAAUGAUUAAUAGGGAUAGUUGGGGGCAUUAGUACUUAACUGUCAGAGGUGAAAUUCUCGGAUUUGUUAAAGACUAACUUAUGCGAAAGCAUUUGCCAAGGAUGUUUUCAUUA